GAAGUUGUCACUUGAAUUUUUGCAUUGUCUCUUAAUCUUGGUAUUAUUGUAAAACAUAUUUUUUAUAAUUAUUUUAUCAUGAAUCCCACGCAAAUAUUUUUCAUUUUAUUUGUUCUAUUUUUCGCAACUGUUUGUAAAGCUGACGAUACUAGUGACAACAGAGUAACUAACUGACUGUGCUAGUGGAAGUUGUAAAUUUUUCAAGAUGGAGAGAACGUACAUAUUCUUUUUUCUACUUAUUUUAAUGCUUGCAACUGCAACCGAAGCCCAGAAUCCAUUAAAAAUUCUAGACGAAUUAAGAAACCUAGCGAAUGAACUUGUCCAAUUUUUGGGAGAUUUGGGCCAGCAACUGGGAAUAUCAUCGUAAUCUCGUGCUCAUUGACUUCAAACCAUAUCCAGCUGUAUUAUUUCAAUAAUGAGAAAUCAGAAGUUG